UACGUAGGGGGCAAGCGUUGUCCGGAUUUAUUGGGCGUAAAGAGCUCGUAGGCGGUUUGGUAAGUCUGGUGUGAAAUCUCCACGCUCAACGUGGAGGGGCCACCCGAUACUGCCAUGACUGGAGUCCGGUAGAGGAGUGUGGAAUUCCCGGUGUAGCGGUGAAAUGCGCAGAUAUCGGGAGGAAGACCGGUGGCGAAGGCGGUCUGCUGGGCAGUUCCUGACGCUGAGGCACGAAGGCCAGGGGAGCAAACGGG
rnacentral:rRNA from 1 species